rnacentral:rRNA from 1 species
ACAUCGCUCUUUGAACAUUUUAAUAUAAAGAGUCGAGCCUGCCCAGUGAUGAAAUUUUAACGGCCGCGGUACCCUGACCGUGCAAAGGUAGCAUAAUCAUUUGCCCUAUAAUUGAGGGCUAGUAUGAAUGGUUUGACAAGAGCAAUACUGUCUCCUUUAGAUUUUAUAGAAUUUGGUUUUCAGGUGAAGAGACCUGAAUAUAAUUGAAAGACAAGAAGACCCUAUCGAGCUUUAAGUUAUUUUAUUAAUUAAAUGAGUUAAAUAUCAGUUUUAAUAAAAAAUUUUGGUUGGGGCGACUGAGGAACAAAUAAAGCUUCCUUUUUUAAAAUAACUUAUUAGUUUUGAUCCAAAAUAUUUGAUUAAAAGAAUUAGUUACCGUAGGGAUAACAGCAUAAUCUUUUUUGAGAGCUCUUAUCGAAAAAAAGGUUUGUGACCUCGAUGUUGGACUAGGAUAUCCUAAUAGAUGCAGACGUCUUUGAUGGUUGGUCUGUUCGACCAUUAAAAUCCUAC